rnacentral:rRNA from 1 species
AUUGAACGCUGGCGGAAUGCUUUACACAUGCAAGUCGAACGGCAGCACGGGGGCAACCCUGGUGGCGAGUGGCGAACGGGUGAGUAAUACAUCGGAACGUGCCCAAUCGUGGGGGAUAACGUAGCGAAAGCUACGCUAAUACCGCAUACGAUCUACGGAUGAAAGCGGGGGAUCGCAAGACCUCGCGCGAAUGGAGCGGCCGAUGGCAGAUUAGCUAGUUGGUGAGGUAAAGGCUCACCAAGGCAACGAUCAGUAGCUGGUUUGAGAGAACGACCAGCCACACUGGAACUGAGACACGGUCCAGACUCCUACGGGAGGCAGCAGUGGGGAAUUUUGGACAAUGGGGGGCAACCCUGAUCCAGCAAUGCCGCGUGAGUGAAGAAGGCCU